rnacentral:rRNA from 1 species
CAGUAGCCGCGGUAAUACGUAGGGUGCAAGCGUUAAUCGGAAUUACUGGGCGUAAAGGGCGCGUAGGCGGCCAUUCAAGUUAGAUGUGAAAGCCCUGGGCUCAACCUAGGAAUUGCAUUUGAUACUGUUUGGCUUGAGUUCGGGAGAGGUGAGUGGAAUUCCCAGUGUAGAGGUGAAAUUCGUAGAUAUUGGGAAGAACACCAGUGGCGAAGGCGGCUCACUGGACCGACACUGACGCUGAGGCGCGAAAGCGUGGGGAGCAAACAGGAUUAGAUACCCCAGUAGUCCCUGUCUCUUAUAC